AUCCUGAAUGACACUACAGCUCAGAUGUGUUCCAAGGGAUUUUUUUUCUAUUCAAACUAUCUUUAUUGAAAAACUUAAGUGAAUGUUUGGCUGCAUAUCUUCCUUCUACAAUCUGUACCUCAUUAAUUCAUCCAUUGGACAAAUAUUGGAUCCAUCCAUCUUUAAAAAAAAAAAAAAUUGUUGAAGUUAUUGUUCAUUUCCAGCAGAUAAUAGGGGGCUUCGCUGAGAGGGGUUGUCAUAGUGACAACAUGCAUAUAAGAUUGAUGCAGCUGCUCAUCCCGUCCUCACUCAGAUCACACAGCAACGGCAGCAGAGUAUAUGUGUUCCAUAGCUAUGAUGAAGGAUUAUAUAGGUCAAAGAGAAGGAUAUUUCUUUUGAACCGUAGGAGUUUUCCUUUCACUGAUUUACACUUCUACAGUAAUAAUAAGACUGAAAUGUCUUUAUCUACAGUGCCAGGGCUGUAGGGCUGCGGUCUCGCUCAUCUUUUUCUCUCUCCUCCCCUACUCUGUCCUGGCACAACUUAAAUGUAAUUUAAUAUAUCCUGAUUUAUGCCCUCUGAAUGGAUUGUUUUUUAAGGGGGAGGGGGGGUGAUCCCUAUGCUUUAAAUCUUAUGUAAUUAAAAGCAUUGCUGAGGAAGAAUUAAUCUUCAAUACACAGAUUGAGGAGUUGCUAUCCUCUGAGAGCAAAGUAAUGACGGCCAACUUUGAGCAAAAUAUGUAAUUAUUACAAAGAUGGAAUAGUGUGCCAUUUAGCCCUGGCUGAUGUAAGGUGCUGUAAUGCUGUCAUUGAUGAUAAUUUUAAGGGAACAAAUUAAGAAGUAACAGAAAUCCUAAGAGAUUUUUCUUCCCACCAGAAUUAUAUUUGAGCCGCUGCUGAGGCAAUCAUUUGAAUGACCCAACGUACUUUCCCCAUUUACAUUGUUUCCUCUAAGUUGGUCACGCCUGAAUGUGGAAAUCUCUAUUGCAUUAUAACAGUAUGUCUAAGGAAACGGACAGUUGCUGGGAAAGAGGUUGUGUCCCUUGCAGUGCAGCCUCAAUACUACAUCUGACUGCAGCAGAGUUUCUGGCAUUACCAAAGACAGGGCAAUUUAGAGUUGUGUUCAGUACAGUUCUGCUCCAGAUUGCUGAGCCUGAGUUAGGGAGAUGAUGCAAUCUGCGGUUUUCUAUAUGCAUUGAUUCAUAAAUCAGAUGAAUAUGUCCUUUUUUUAAGCUCUUUCUGUUAUUCCUGCUUUUUAAUGCAGCGAGACCUUUCCCUCUCCACCCCCUGCUUGGUGACGGUGGUGGAGCAGAGACAUUCUGAUGCUGAGAUACAGCGUUGGAUGUGGAGGGAGCAGAUUGAGAAUGUGUCCCAUCCCCAUACACUAAAGGGCUGAAUGAGGCUGUGUGUGUGUGUGUGUGUUUAUAACUACAGAAGAAACACACUCUUGGGGGUUAAACAGAGCUCUGGAUACACCGCCCAUCCAGCUCUGUCCACCUCUCCACACCUCUCCUUAUGAAGUCUUUGGCCUGGGACUACAUAUUAUACCUUACAGAAACCGUGACCUAUGAAUAAUGUCAAAGAAUGACUACCUUAGAUGGGACAUAACUCUAAAAUAAGGCCUAUUUUUGUACUAUAUAUAUAUAUAUGGUGCAGUGUAAUUUUCUUGUAAUUUAAAGAUUUCUUUUUGCUCUUGUUAAAUUUGUCCUUUUUAUUUAAUUGAUAGAUUCUAUGAAAAAUAAAGAUCUAUGCAAAC
rnacentral:lncRNA from 1 species